rnacentral:misc_RNA from 1 species
UGGGAAUCUGAGGCUUCUUGAUGGUCAGCAGAACAGUAUUUGGUCGACCAAUAUUUCUGGCCAAUCGAAUGGUUCAAUUGCUCUACUUUCAGAUGAUGGAAAGUUGGUUUUGAACAGUAUAGCAGGAGAGAAUCUAUGGGAUAGCUCCCAGCAUCCUACCGAUUCUCUUUUGCCAGGCACAUGGUUGGCCUACAAUAACACAACUGGGGAGAGACUUACUGUUACUUCUUGGAAAAGUGACAAGGAUCCAUCUGUCGGGG